UGAGGCCAUUUUCCUCCAGAUUCUGAGGAUC
rnacentral:piRNA from 1 species